GACGAACGCUGGCGGCGUGCUUAACACAUGCAAGUCGAACGGAAAGGCCCUGCUUUUGUGGGGUGCUCGAGUGGCGAACGGGUGAGUAACACGUGAGUAACCUGCCCUUGACUUUGGGAUAACUUCAGGAAACUGGGGCUAAUACCGGAUAGGAGCUCCUGCUGCAUGGUGGGGGUUGGAAAGUUUCGGCGGUUGGGGAUGGACUCGCGGCUUAUCAGCUUGUUGGUGGGGUAGUGGCUUACCAAGGCUUUGACGGGUAGCCGGCCUGAGAGGGUGACCGGCCACAUUGGGACUGAGAGACGGCCCAGACUCCUACGGGAGGCAGCAGUGGGGAAUAGUGCACAAUGGGCGGAAGCCUGAUGCAGCAACGCCGCGUGCGGGAUGACGGCCUUCGGGUUGUAAACCGCUUUCUCCUGUGACGAAGCGUGAGUGACGGUAAUGGGUAAAGAAGCACCGGCUAACUACGUG
rnacentral:rRNA from 1 species